GGCUGAAUAGUUCAGAGGUAGAAUUCUUGCUUUGGGCGUGGUUUCUGAAAUGUAAGAGGUCCUGGGUUCAAUUCCCAGUUCAGCCC
rnacentral:tRNA from 1 species